rnacentral:rRNA from 1 species
GAUGAACGCUAGCUACAGGCUUAACACAUGCAAGUCGAGGGGAAACGACAUCGAAAGCUUGCUUUUGAUGGGCGUCGACCGGCGCACGGGUGAGUAACGCGUAUCCAACCUGCCCACCACUUGGGGAUAACCUUGCGAAAGUAAGACUAAUACCCGAUGAUAUCCCUAGACGACAUCUGAAAGGGAUUAAAGAUUUGUCGGUGAUGGAUGGGGAUGCGUCUGAUUAGUUUGUUGGCGGGGUAACGGCCCACCAAGGCAACGAUCAGUAGGGGUUCUGAGAGGAAGGUCCCCCCACAUUGGAACUGAGACACGGUCCAAACUCCUACGGGAGGCAGCAGUGAGGAAUAUUGGUCAAUGGGCGAGAGCCUGAACCAGCCAAGUAGCGUGCAGGACGACGGCCCUAUGGGUUGUAAACUGCUUUUAUAAGGGAAUAAAGUGAGUCUCGUGAGACUUUUUGCAUGUACCUUAUGAAUAAGGACCGGCUAAUUCCGUG